UCUACAUUAAUGAUGUGAACGUCAAAAAGUCGUUAACUAGCUUAACUUGAAACGUGAUGCAUGACGGAUAAACAAACAUUAAAAUGAACUUACGGUGUGAUCGCAGCCUUUGGUAUAAUUGAACUUUCACCAUAUAGCGUAGCUUGAUAUAGUAUUUACUGUGGAUCACAUUGCAAGGCGUUCUCGGUGCCCUCUCUUCAUCCUGGAGCAAACGGAUCGUCGACAAAAGAUCAGCUGGAGUGACCUGAAAUGGACUAACAUGAAACUGGAGUCAGAAGUACCAACUAUAAUCUCCAGGUCAUCUUACGGAUUUCCUUCCUUCCUUUUGUGAUUUCGUCAGGGGAACAUAUCAUAAAGAAAUUAAGAGAGAAGGCUGUGCAAUGGAAUUUGAGAAAGAUAAGAAGACAAACCGCAGUAAGUCUACUGCUAGGCGAUCAAGCAACUCAAGGAGAGCUCGCGAACUUGAGUGGCAAAGGAGAUUAGAUUCGUUGGUUGAAGAACAGCGAAAGCUUCAACAUGAAAACAACGUGCUAAAAGAAGAGCAUAUGAGACUUUUGAAGAUCGUAGAAGAACUGAAAUCUCAAAUCUAAUUUUUUUAUCACAAUGAGUGUAGGUAGCAUUUAAUAAAGUUUCUUAUUUG